GGGUUGUGAGGUUAAGCGACUAAGCGUACACGGUGGAUGCCCUGGCAGUCAGAGGCGAUGAAGGGCGUGCUAAUCUGCGAUAAGCGCCGGUAAGGUGAUAUGAACCGUUAUAACCGGCGAUACCCGAAUGGGGAAACCCAGUGUGACUCGUCACACUAUCAUUAACUGAAUCCAUAGGUUAAUGAGGCGAACCGGGGGAACUGAAACAUCUAAGUACCCCGAGGAAAAUAAAUCAACCGAGAUUCCCCCAGUAGCGGCGAGCGAACGGGGAGGAGCCCAGAGCCUGAAUCAGCAUGUGUGUUAGUGGAAGCGUCUGGAAAGGCGCGCGAUACAGGGUGACAGCCCCGUACACAAAAGCGCAUGUGCUGUGAGCUCGAUGAGUAGGGCGGGACACGUGGUAUCCUGUCUGAAUAUGGGGGGACCAUCCUCCAAGGCUAAAUACUCCUGACUGACCGAUAGUGAACCAGUACCGUGAGGGAAAGGCGAAAAGAACCCCGGCGAGGGGAGUGAAAAAGAACCUGAAACCGUGUACGUACAAGCAGUGGGAGCCCCACCACCAAAGCAUUCUCUGGUGUUGAAGGCCCUGCAAAGCAGCAUCGCGGUGGCGGAGCGUCGUUUGCGACGCCCAACACACAAAACAAGCGGUGAGUGCUUUGGGGUGGGGUGACUGCGUACCUUUUGUAUAAUGGGUCAGCGACUUAUAUUCUGUAGCAAGGUUAACCGAAUAGGGGAGCCGGAGGGAAACCGAGUCUUAAUUGGGCGUUAAGUUGCAGGGUAUAGACCCGAAACCCGGUGAUCUAGCCAUGGGCAGGUUGAAGGUUGGGUAACACU
rnacentral:rRNA from 1 species